rnacentral:SRP_RNA from 1 species
GCCGGGUGCAGUGGCUGGUGCCUGUAAUCCCAGCUCCUCGGGAGGCUGAGGUGGGAGGAUCGCUUGAGCCCAGGAGUUCUGGGCUGUGGUGCGCUAUGCCGAUCGGGUGUCUGCACUAAGUUCGGCAUCAAUAUGGUGACCUCCAGGAGCGGGGGACCACCAGGUUGCCUAAGGUGGGGUAAACUGGCCCAGGUCGGAAACGGAGCAGGUCAAAACUCCCGUGCUGAUCAGUAGUGGGAUCGCGCCUGUGAACAGCCACUGCACUCCAGCCUGGGCAACAUAGUGAGACCCUGUCUCU